CAGAAAAUGAGGUGCCCCAGCACCUCCUAGGAUGCAAGUGUUUGCUGGUUUUUUCUGAUUGCAUGAGACAGGCACUAAAGCUGUCAGUGUGGUGAAAACCGCACUGUGUUGGAUCUUCACUGAGAGCUGCUUUUUCCUCUGUUUUCAUUUCUGUCAGCUGCAAUAUGAGGCUGCACCUCACCCCCUGUGCCAAACUGUCCUCGGUUGAGGAAAAACCAAUGGUCCUGAGUACCUGCACGGACAUCUCAGGUCCUUCAUGAGUGAACUACUCUCAGAAAGCUUCUGCAUCUUAUGAAAGACAAACAUGCAUCAUUCAUUAAAAAAAUGUUUGCUUUGGCUACAAAAGAUUGAAAAUGGUAAUUUGGCCUGCAGAGUACCUGAUGGGUUGAUUUGUAGAGCAUAUAAACUGACAGGGUAUGCAUCAGUAAGUUAGGAAACUGAGAUUCACAUCACUGCUCAA